UCCCGGGGCUUAACCCCGGAAGUGCAUAUGAAACUAUAAAGCUUGAGUAUGGGAGAGGGAAGCGGAAUUCCUGGUGUAGCGGUGAAAUGCGUAGAUAUCAGGAGGAACACCGGUGGCGAAGGCGGCUUCCUGGACCAAUACUGACGCUGAGGCGCGAAGGCGUGGGGAGCGAACAGGAUUAGAUACCCUGGUAGUCCACGCAGUGAACGUUGAUCACUAGGUGUGGCGGGUAUUGACCCCUGCUGUGCCGGAGUUAACGCAUUAAGUGAUCCGCCUGGGGAGUACGAUCGCAAGAUUAAAACUCAAAGGAAUUGACGGGGGCCCGCACAAGCGGUGGAGCAUGUGGUUUAAUUCGACGCAACGCGAAGAAUCUUACCUGGACUUGACAUCCC
rnacentral:rRNA from 1 species